ACAAGAUAGCACUGAGUCGGGGUAUGGAGAAUGACUAUUUAUGAAAAUAAUCUAAAAAUUGAUUGACCUACUAGAUUGAUCUGAAAAGGACCGAGAACAUUUUUCACCUUUACAUAAAGAUUUGAUAGAAUGCGCCUCCCGGGAUUCUGUGUCAGCGUUUUCUUUUGUUUACUGUCGCUGACCCGUGGACAGAUUGACCGAAGUAUCUGUGUUCCGGUCUCCAACAUUUCCGACGCCUCACCGAUUCCGGCGCUGUCAGAAUCCUACUCCACGACCGUAGAAUGGAAGCUUCUCCACAAUAAUAGUACCAUCAGUAUUGAUGAAUACGUCAUCGGAAUGGAGAAGUUAAGUAGUAUACGUAUUACACAAGAAGGUCAUACGUCACGGAUCAUCUAUGACGAAGCCAAUCAGCAGUACACGAUGCUUGAUAUUGUUAAUAGUAGGUGGACUAAAGAAACUUGUCUAAAUGUUUAAAAGGCGUAUAUAUGUGUACCCUGCAAUUAUUUUAACGAUUAAUACUGUAAAUUCCUUAUUUUACGCAAGUACUUAAUUCCGCGAUUGCGCUGUUUUGUAUCAAAUUGCGAGAAUAUAAAAUGGCGAGCACAAACUUUUUUUCCUAUAGUUCAAAACUGUCUGGAAAAUAAAAGCGAGAUUUUAAAGUAAACUAGAUUUCUGUUGCUCAUACGGGUUUAUACCAAUUUUAGUCGAUACAGAAUGUAUUUAUGCAAUGAUAAUAUAAAUUUGGAAAACAACACUGGAUCCUUUUAGUUGUUUUAUUUUUUCUUUAAAUCAUUCAUAGAAAGAUAGUGUAACGUAAAAUUAUCAAAAUAAAGCUUAACUUGGCCAACUUCAUCAUAUACAUGUAAUGCACUAAAAUCCCAAUCAAAACAGGAUGGAAUUUACUUUAAGAAGACAAUAAAAGCAAACCAAAUUUGUAUCCUUUCAGAUCAAUGUACAACACAAAAUUACGUUCUUGACGUGGUUUUAUUUGGGAACGAGAUCUGGAAAUCAACGACAAAGCAGUUAUAUCAGAUCUUGAAACAGUCCAUUACGGUGUACGGUGGCUACCAAACAAUCAGAUCCACGGUGGUUCAGAGUUGGUCCACCUGUGUGUAUUUACUGGAGUACAACGUCACUCUGUCCGCCACCAUCUACUUCGCAGCGGAAGGGUGGCCCAUGCCGUUCGCAGCCCCUAACGCCAUGGUUCCGGUACGUCUGGAACUCCGGGGGUCCUACAACAACAACCAGACGAGGUUCCACGCGGUGGGUGAUUACGUCAACUUCCUGCCCACCCCGCCGACAAACCUGGACAACGUACAGAUAGAACCAGGCAUGUUCUGUGCCGGAAGGGAUGUCGGGAUGCCGAUACUUCCGGUACCAACGGACUUCUCCACCGUCAUAGAGAGGGUUAAUAUCCAUGACAAGCAGGUCACGUACGAAACGAUUUGGUUUGACUCACGGAGGAAAUUCGUUCGAUAUGAAACUAAAUCAGCCAGCGGUGAUGACGUCGACCCGACUAGGAUCGUGUUUGAUUUCUAUGACGGGGUGAGGUACUCCAUUGACCCGUACACGAGCUCUUGUGAUCCACCCACGAUCAUUGAGAGGGGGGACAAGUUCGUGGACCAGACAGCCUCCCCCAUAACACGGAUACAGAUGCAGAGUUCGCUGGACUUCUUUAAGUUACAGAACGCCACGGUCCAGUACGUGGGCAAGAGGUAUACGCGGAAGAUAUUUUGUGACGUGUGGGUGGGGCUCUACUAUGACCUGAAUAUUGGUCAGAAUCAAACGGUGGAAUGGUAUUUUCUUGGGGAGGGAUGGCAGGAGGGCAUCGGUACCUCCAUCACCCCAGGGAGUCUGGUCAGAUUUGAUGUCUGGGCGGCUAAUUCGAAUUUCCCUAUCAUUCACAACGUGCACAAACUUAACCCCUCCCAGCCCUACCUCACUGCGUUUGAGAUCGGGCCUUGUUUCACGGGGCCACAUAAACGGAACUUCGUCAUCAAAUUUGCAACAAGUGGUCUUGAUCUGAGUCAAGUGAGUCUGAACUACAUCAGGGACCAAAUACAGGAAAUUCUCACCACGCAAGCGCAGUUGGAUAAUCUCAGAUUCAGCAAUGUUGCGUUUGAGAAUUUUGGAGCGAACGAUUGGUACUUCACCGCCACUCUGCUCGACAAAUCGCCCGUGGAUAACAACAACAUUUUCCCGCCAGUUCUGAUGAAGGAACCUCUGAACAGUGCGUUUGGAUUCCUGACGGGAUAUGUGGACACUCCCUGGGUGUACAAUAUAACUCAACCAACACUGAACUUACGGCUGACAGCGAUGGGGAUACUUCCGCUGUAUUACCCGUACGAUUUUACGACAACCACAACUCAGCCAACCACAACCGGGACAUUCCUGGUGCCCACACUUCCGGUCCAAACCACGGGGACUUCAGUCACUACAGCCAUGCCCACACCCCCAGCCCCACCCACGGGGCCUACAGUUAAGGUUACCACCCAGACAACGAGCCCGACAACUAAACUCACAACCAGCAACAGAUCGGGUAAGACAAAUCACAGUCCUGAAAGUACUGAAAGGCAAACUCUUUGUAAGACACGUGUUAGACAAUUUAAGACCAAAGAACGAAUAAAAAGACGAUAGAACGAAUAACAACAUACACCUGAACCAAUGAAAACCUCAGAAAAUCAGGGAGGCAUAUGUUCCAGCAUUUCAUAAAUACUUCGAAUUCUAGAUAAUGAUCAUAAGUGUUUUCAGUUUUUUGUUUUUUUUUUAUACAAGAACCAUGUAAGUGUCCAAAGAGCACAUGCCCGAAUCCUACAACAUGUCCAACAAUUACAUGUCCGGUGAUUACAACUCCGCGGCCGAUGACGUCAACAGCGUGUCCUCCUACAACAUGCAAAUGUCCAAAAGUCACGUGUCCAAGUGCAACAACACAAAAACCACAAAACAUGCCAGUAUACACAAAAGUCACAUGUCCACCGGUUACACCACCACCACCUUGCACCACGCCGGUUCCAGGUUCGAGUCAUCUUAGUGCGCAGGCGCAACAGCAAUCAAGCAAAGGUGUUAACGCAGGUGGGGUGGUAGGAAUAGCGUUGGCCUGUCUAGCGAUCGGGGCGAUCGUAGGCGCCAUUGUGAUGUUUUUCAUACAGAAGAAAUUCCCAAACGGCUUCCGGAACAGAGACGGAUAUCUAAACCCGGUGUUUGACGACAGUAGCCGGUACUGACACACAGACAGACAGACAUACGUCGUUUUGUUGAUCUUUUAUACUCACGUUUAUUUAUAUUGUAUUGUACUAAGUACAAAUAAAAGCUGUUUAUUUCUGUACAAACUAC
rnacentral:misc_RNA from 1 species